AAUCCAUGCUGUGGGCACUUCCGCAACAGAUCCUUGAAUCAUACCCAUAUCUCAAACAAGGACUCAAGCUUCAUCUGAACAAACAACGAUAUCUCAUUGCGAAGCUU